GAUGAACGCUAGCGGCAGGCUUAAUACAUGCAAGUCGAGGGGCAGCACAGAUAGCAAUAUUGGGUGGCGACCGGCAAACGGGUGCGGAACACGUACACAACCUUCCUUUUGGUGGGGGAUAGCCUUUGGAAACGGAGAUUAAUACCCCAUAAGAUAUUGUGACCGCAUGGUUAUGAUAUUAAAGAUUUAUUGCCAGAAGAUGGGUGUGCGUAUGAUUAGGUAGUUGGUGAGGUAAAGGCUCACCAAGCCGACGAUCAUUAACUGGUGUGAGGGCACGACCAGUCACACGGGCACUGAGACACGGGCCCGACUCCUACGGGAGGCAGCAGUAAGGAAUAUUGGUCAAUGGACGGAAGUCUGAACCAGCCAUGCCGCGUGGAGGAUGAAGGUCCUCUGGAUUGUAAACUUCUUUUAUAUGGGGCGAAAAAGGGCCAUUCUUGGUCAACUGACGGUACCAUAUGAAUAAGCACCGGCUAACUCCGUGCCAGCAGCCGCCGUAAGAC
rnacentral:rRNA from 1 species